AAAGCUCGUAGUUGAAUUUCGGGAUUGACGCGACGGUCGUGCCUUAAGGGGCGUGAACUGUCGCCGUUGAUUUCUCACCUUCUGGAGAAGCUCGAUGUCCUUAAUUGGAUGUCUUGUGGAACCAGGACCUUUACCUUGAAAAAAUUAGAGUGUUUAAAGCAGGCAUUUUGCUCGAAUACAUUAGCAUGGAAUAAUAGAAUAGGACGGCAUGGUUCUAUUUUGUUGGUUUCUAGGAUCACCGUAAUGAUUAAUAGGGAUAGUUGGGGGCAUUAGUAUUCAAUUGUCAGAGGUGAAAUUCUUGGAUUUAUUGAAGACUAACUACUGCGAAAGCAUUUGCCAAGGAUGUUUUCAUUAAUCAAGAACGAAAGUUAGGGGAUCGAAGACGAUCAGAUACCGUCGUAGUCUUAACCAUAAACUAUGCCGACUAGGAAUCAGACGAUGUUAAUUUUUUAAUGACUCGUUCGGCACCU
rnacentral:rRNA from 1 species